rnacentral:rRNA from 1 species
CCUACGGGUGGCAGCAGUAGGGAAUAUUGGGCAAUGGGCGCAAGCCUGACCCAGCAACGCCGCGUGAAGGAAGAAGGCUUUCGGGUUGUAAACUUCUUUUCUCAGGGACGAAGCUAGUGACGGUACCUGAGGAAUAAGCCACGGCUAACUACGUGCCAGCAGCCGCGGUAAUACGGAGGUGGCAAGCGUUAUCAGGAUUUACGGGGUGUAAAGGGCGUGUAGGCGGGAAAGGAAGUCAGAUGUGAAAACCAUGUGCUCAACCUGUGGACUGCAUUUGAAACUGUUUUUCUUGAGUACUGGAGAGGCAGACGGAAUUCCUAGUGUAGCGGUGAAAUGCGUAGAUAUUAGGAGGAACACCAGUGGCGAAGGCGGUCUGCUGGACAGCAACUGACGCUGAGGCGCGAAAGCGUGGGGAGCAAACAGGAUUAGAUACCCUUGUAGUC